rnacentral:lncRNA from 1 species
AGGCGCGGCGAGGCGGGUGGCGCGCGGCAGCAGGGUUGGGCUCUCGCCGUGAGUCGACGAAGGGAGCGCGGGCGCGCGCCCGCGUCCGCGCACUGAGAGUCGCCUCGGCCGCUCGCUUUCUCGACUCCCGCCUCGCGCCUCGAUCCUGUUCCGCCUCCCUCGGCCCUCCUGCCCGCCCCCACUCGUCGGCCCUCAGCUCAGAGACCUAAUAGGAUGGGGUCUUAGAGAAACAUCUUUUGAGCCACAGACUUCUUUGUUACCAGAAGGAAAAUGAAAGAAGAAAUUUAAAUACCACUUGAAGAGAGGUGAGAACCCUUUGUUAAGCUGUGUAACCUCUGUGCAUAGUUUCCUCAUCAGCAAAGUCAGAAAAAGUAUGUACCUGAAGGACUGAUUGUAAGGCUGGGAUGAGAGAAUCCAUGUGAUCAGCCCUCACCAACAGGUGCUGCCCAGUUCAUGAGUGCUGCUGCUGUCCUGCCCAAGUACCCAGCUUGCAGAGUGCCAGAGUUAGAGUCCCAGGGGUGUUCUCCACAGCUGCAUGCUUGAUCCAGGCCUAUCAGGUGUUAUUUGUUGACGGAACCAGGCAUCAUCAGCAAACAAAACUGACAAAGCUUCCUGCCCUCUGUGGAAGGCAUCUGAGGAAGAGACUGGAUUUUGUAGCAACAUGUUAUUCUCAUUAUAAACUUUAUCAUUGGAAUACUAAAGCCAAAUCAUCCCCCAUCUCCUUGAUCAGGAUACCCACUUAAUCUAGGCAGCUACACAAUUGUGAGAGCCUUUGUUUUUUUCUGCUGAAACAUCCUUAAAAAGAUACCUCACAACCCAAGAUUUGGCUUUUCUUAAAUACGAUUUUUAAUUUUUUUCAUUUCUAUCUAGAGAUUUAAUUGGAAAUGGAAAAUCAUCAAUUUUCCAAUUAAAUGUCUGUUCCAAUCAACAUUAUACCUUUUAGGUUGUCAUUGUCAUUUUUAAGUUUAAGCAACUUUAAGGAUUUUGAAUCUGGCUGCCUGUAAAUUAAAGGUGAAAGUAAUCAUUGUGUUGGAUUGGAACAUUUUGUCAAUUGAGAGUGGUUUCCUUGUUCUUAGUGUAUGAAAAGUUUAUUUUUCUAAUGUAGAUUAAUAAAGGAGAUAAAGAAAAACAAAA